CGAUUGCUGGCGCGGCCGGUGCGGCCGGCGUUGGCGGCGCCGCCGGAGCGGGCGGUGCGGCGGGCGUCGGUUCGGCAGCCGCCACGGGCGUC
rnacentral:tRNA from 1 species